UACGAAGGGGGCUAGCGUUGCUCGGAAUCACUGGGCGUAAAGCGCACGUAGGCGGAUUGCUAAGUCAGGGGUGAAAUCCUGGAGCUCAACUCCAGAACUGCCUUUGAUACUGGCGAUCUUGAGUCCGGGAGAGGUGAGUGGAACUGCAGGUGUAGCGGUGAAAUGCGUAGAUAUCUGCAGGAACACCCGUGGCGAAGGCGGCUCGCUGGACCGUAACUGACGCUGAGGAACGAAAGCUAGGGGAGCAAACAGG
rnacentral:rRNA from 1 species